GAUGAACGCUGGCGGCGUGCUUAACACAUGCAAGUCGAACGGUGGAGGCGGAGCUUGCUCUGCUGGAUCAGUGGCGAACGGGUGAGUAACACGUGAGCAAUCUGCCCCUGACUCUGGGAUAAGCGCUGGAAACGGCGUCUAAUACUGGAUACGAGCUGCGAAGGCAUCUUCAGCAGCUGGAAAGAAUUUCGGUCAGGGAUGAGCUCGCGGCCUAUCAGCUUGUUGGUGAGGUAAUGGCUCACCAAGGCGUCGACGGGUAGCCGGCCUGAGAGGGUGACCGGCCACACUGGGACUGAGACACGGCCCAGACUCCUACGGGAGGCAGCAGUGGGGAAUAUUGCACAAUGGGCGAAAGCCUGAUGCAGCAACGCCGCGUGAGGGACGACGGCCCUCGGGUUGUAAACCUCUUUUAGCAGGGAAGAAGCGAAAGUGACGGUACCUGCAGAAAAAGCGCCGGCUAACUACGUG
rnacentral:rRNA from 1 species